CCCCCCAGCCCCCACCAGAAUCUGAAAUCCCAGCAGCCAGCACCUCCAGAAAGGCUGGGGGGGCAGAGGGGGGGCAGAGUAGGAGAGAGGAGGGAGUUGGGCACCCCCACAUUAAAUGCCCCAGGCCCUCGUCUCUCCACCUCAGACCCAGGGCCUGAAAAUACUCGCUCUCACCUGCAGGAAAGGGGAAGGUGGGACUAGAAACCAGUGCUCCAGCCUUUCUCUCUUUCCCUCCAACCCCAGUUCUCAGCAACUUUGCCCAAAUACUUCCCAUGAUGCUCAAGAUGAAAGUCACAGCCCUUCGAACCACCAAGAGCCAAAUCCUCUCCCAGCCUUUCUCCCUCCUUGGUCCUCCUGUCAGCCACUGCAGCCCAGCAUUCUGCAAGGGUUGAAGGUUCUCUCCCCGCUCCUCACACCAAAAAAGUUGGCAGGAUUUACCCAACAGGAAGCCACUCCCCUGCCAGGGCCCAGCUCAUCCUCAGGAUAGCCACUUUUCCCCGAAAGUGGCAAAUGGAAGCCGGAUGGCCUCUCAGGGACCUCCUUUUGUGAUGAGGUGGCUACCAUGAGGCCCAGAGAGCCCAGCUCAAUGAGGAAAGCGUCCAGUUUGGGAGCCUUGAUCUGGUCACCCCUCGCAACCUAUGUAACCUUGAUCAAGCCCUUUAGACUUUUCUGAGCCUUAGUUUCCACAUCGAUAGAGUGAAUUAAUAUCUUCUCUAAAACAGGGUUGUGAGGCUCAAAGGAGAUGAUGGAAGUGAAGAACUUUGUGAAGGUCAAGGUGAAGAAGGUGCUGUCUCCAGACAGGCAGAGGAAAGUCCUCACCCCAUUUCUCAAGAACCAGAGAUGGAAAUACAAGUCUGCACUCACGGAGCCAAAACAUAAACAAGCAGCAGACCCAUGUGGGGGUCUGUCUCUGCAGGCACCGCCUUCCACCCCAGUAGAGUUCAGUGGCAUCAUCACAGCUCACAUCAUCACAGCUCACAGCUGCAACCUCAAACUCCUGGGCUCAAGUGAU